UACAGAGGUCCCAAGCGUUGUUCGGAUUCAUUGGGCGUAAAGGGUGCGUAGGCGGCGCGGUAAGUCGGGUGUGAAAUCUCGGAGCUUAACUCCGAAACUGCAUUCGAUACUGCCGUGCUUGAGGACUGGAGAGGAGACUGGAAUUUACGGUGUAGCGGUGAAAUGCGCAGAGAUUGGGAGGAACACCCGUAGCGAAGGCGGCACUCUGGGCCGGUACUGACGCUGAGGAGCGAAAGCGUGGGGAGCAAACAGG
rnacentral:rRNA from 1 species